rnacentral:rRNA from 1 species
GACGAACCGUGCGAACGUUGUUCGGAUUCACUGGGCUUAAAGGGCGCGUAGGCGGACUCGCCAGUCUGUGGUGAAAGCCCCCCAGCUCAACUGGGGAACUGCGUCCGAUACUGGAUGGCUUGAGGUUGGGAGAGGGAUGCGGAAUUCCAGGUGUAGCGGUGAAAUGCGUAGAUAUCUGGAGGAACACCGGUGGCGAAGGCGGCAUCCUGGACCAAUUCUGACGCUGAGUGAGCGAAAGCCAGGGGAGCAAACGGG